AUUUGUGAAUAUUUGAUUUCGUGCUGCAAUGUUAUAUCUCAAUUUAACGCUGCUUCAUAGUUUAUAGCCUUUAUAUGCUUUCUAAUUGUUACGAAUUUGUGAAAUUUAUUGAAAAGACACAAUGCUUCUGAAGUUAUAUAGCCCAAUUCUGUAACCAUUGUUCACAUAAUUGUUGGCACCACCUUUAGGUUCAAUAAUUCUGGUUUGUUAUUUUGUGCUUUAGUAGGAAGAGAUUUUUCAUGUAUAGACAUUAGUUGUGUUUGUGAAUGUAGGAUUAGAAAUGCAAAACAACAUCGUUGAUCCUUCUAGAGUGCACAUUAAGGAGCUGGAUUGGUUAAAAAAGUGUUUGUAAUGAGUUAUUGAACAAAGUUACUAUACUUGAAGUUACUCUAACAGUAACUUGAUCCUUCUAUUUUGAUUAUUGUUAAUCUAUUUAUGUUGUUUCUGUUGAACCUUUGGUCAGUAGUUUCUGAUAUCAAACUUUGGUUUUAUGGUAUUAAUUGCUUUGAAUUUAUGGUGUUAAUUGCUUUGGAUUAUCUAUAUUGUCGCGUGUGAACAUAAAUCUUAAUGAACUAAGUUUACGAACAAAGUUGAAAUUUGAGAAUUGAGUAGUACAUCAAGCCUCAUGGCAUGGCCAUUCACUGCAUAGUUUUAAAUUGUGCAUUUCAUAUGCUACUAGGUUUUCUUUCAUAAUAACAAUGAACAUACUCUAGCAUAAUCUGUGUCAUUUUGAUUCUGAAUAGUGUAUAAUCCGCAUUUAAAUUUGCUUUGUACUUGUAUAAGUUGUUUAAUGUUCUUUAUUUUGGCUUUUAUCUUUGGUAUUGGGAAUAUCUUUAUUGGGAAUAUUUCUUAGAUUCUUAAUCAUCUAGUGGUAUUAUUAGCAAUCUCUUAUUCUUUGUUUAGAAUUGGGGUGUUAGAUCAUAACAUGGCUUCAUCUUCAUUGCAUAGUCUCGAUAACGUCGUUUGGACGACCUCCUAACUCAAAUGCAGCUUUAGCAUAAUGUUGGCAUGAAUGAGAUUCAUACCUUGCUUCGUGCUUAUGUUGAUCACAGUUCACAAGACACAAACGAUCAUCAUGGAGUGAAAUCAAAACAUUUACUCUAUCCAGAUCUUCAAGGUGGAGUUUCCCUGAUGUAAUGGUAAGAUCAAUUUAAUGGUAAGAACGUUCAUGACUUUUGAUGGAGUUUCCCUUAUUAUACAAGUAUGAUCAAUUUUUUCUCUUCGAUGAAACUUUGGCAACUUUGAAUGCGUGAUUCACCUUGAUGGCUUAACUUUGCAGUGACACUUGAAUUAUAUGCGUCAGAAUCAGUUAUGAACUAUCUAUGAUUUAUUUGAAUUGGGUUUUGUUAGAGUAAGUAGUACUAAAUGAUUGUGUUCAAAGUGGUUAAUAAUAAUAGUAAGGUGUGAAGCUGAAUCAGAAUCAGUUAAAAUGAUGGACUAAGGGUGCAGGCCAGAAGCUGAAAUUGCUGCUCUCAGGCAUGAACUUACACAAGAAGUUGUUGCUUGGUAUAAACUAACCAUCCUAAUGUCACAAAAGGCUCUGAGUGAGAAAGGCUAUGAACUUGUUUCCGGUGGGACUGAAAAUCAUCUAGUUUUGGUGAAUAUGAAGAAAAAGGUAACCCGAUAACUACUUUGACUUUGCUUGAGAAGAUGAAGUCGGUGUACACGAAUGUAGAAGGUCUUCCUCCGAAUUGAAUUGUGGAAAGCAAUUGCUUCUCUAGGGCGUGGUAUUUUGGCCAUGGAUGAAUCCAAUGGUACAUGUGGAAAGCGGUUGGAUUCAAUUGGACUAGAGAACAACCGAAGCUAACCGUCAAGCAUGGCGUAAAAUUAUAUAUGAAGAAAGUGUUAUGACUUGGUUAAAAUAUAAUUUUUAUGUGUAUGAUUUUAUAGUACUUGAAAUAUUAUGAAUGCACAUGAUUUUGUAUACUUUUGGUUAAUAUUAAAAAUAUUUUGACUUAGUUAAAAUA